rnacentral:rRNA from 1 species
AGCCAGACUCCUACGGGAGGCAGCAGUGGGGGAUAUUGCACAAUGGGGGAAACCCUGAUGCAGCGACGCCGCGUGAGUGAAGGAGCGUUUCGGCGCGUAAAGCUCUCUCAGCAGGGAAGACAAACUGCCCCGGAAGGGGCAGCCGGACGGUACCUGACCAAGAAGCCCCGGCUAACUACGUGCCAGCAGCCGCGGUAAUACGGAGGAUGCGAGCGUUAUCCGGAUUUAUUGGGUUUAAAGGGUGCGUAGGCGGGCAUUUAAGCCGGCGGUCAAAUGUCGGGGCUCAACCCCGGCCUGCCGUCGGAACUGGGUGCCUUGAGUGGGCGAGAAGUAUGCGGAAUGCGUGGUGUAGCGGUGAAAUGCAUAGAUAUCACGCAGAACCCCGAUUGCGAAGGCAGCAUACCGGCGCCCUACUGACGCUCAGGCACGAAAGCGUGGGUAUCGAACAGGAUUAGAUACCCGAGUAGU